rnacentral:sRNA from 1 species
UUCGCCCGAAGUUGGCCAUUCUCGGCCGAU